GAUGAGAACGUAGCGAAAUGCGAAAAGUAAUGUGAAUUGCAGAAUUCAGUGAAUCAUCGAAUCUUUGAACGCACAUUGCGCCCGCUGGUACUCCGGCGGGCACGCCUGUCCGAGCGUCAUUUCAACCCUCAAGCCCUCCUUCGGGAUGGGCCUGGUGUUGGGGCUCGGCCGCCAUCUCCGGCGGCCGUCCCCUAAAUACAGUGGCGGUCACGUCGCGACUCCUUUGCGUAGUAGAAACACCUCGCUCCGGAUAGCAACGCGGUCCACGCCGUAAAAUCCCCAAUUUUCAAUGGUUGACCUCGGAUCAGGUGGGAAUACCCGCUGAACUUAAGCAUAUCAAUAAGCGGAGGA
rnacentral:misc_RNA from 1 species